rnacentral:sRNA from 1 species
ACAGUAUUUAUUUGUAUUGACAUUUACUCUUUGAUGUCAUCAAGGCCUAAGUCUGCUUUGCUUUCAGACAGGAUAUCUGCAGAGCUCACGACAAAUGUGAUACCUUAGGCCUGGCUGAACUGGGAACCAUUUGUGAUCCCUACAGAAGCUGUUCUAUUAGUGAAGAUAGUGGAUUGAGUACAGCUUUUACGAUCGCCCAUGAGCUGGGCCACGUGUUUAACAUGCCUCAUGAUGACAACAACAAAUGUAAAGAAGAAGGAGUUAAGAGUCCCCAGCAUGUCAUGGCUCCAACACUGAACUUCUACACCAACCCCUGGAUGUGGUCAAAGUGUAGUCGAAAAUAUAUCACUGAGUUUUUAGAGUAAGACUUGAACAUUCUUUUAGCACAAACUUCUAGUGCCUGGCCUACACGUAGUGAACUAAUUGUGGGAAAGACAAUAUAAAGUCAAACAUUCCUUUUGAGUUAUUUUUGUUGA